CCCUCUCACUCACCUCGUUCCGUAAAGGGUCGAGCUGGUAGACGUUCUGCAGCUGAUUUCUUAGCCGCAUAGCUAUCGCCAUCGGACCUUGCUCCGCCAUCUUUGGGAAUUCUGCAUACUUCCGGGUAACGGGAGAGUGGACAUCUGAUGGGGUCAUCGCACAUCUGAGUGACAGCACCUUCCUCCACAUACAAAUCACGCCUUUGGGGAGGACAGAGCUCUGAUGAUAGUUGAACACAUCAAAGAGAAAAGACAGAGGUGCCGAACCCUUUGGCGUACCGUGGCAUUUAUUUCUUCACCGUAUCUCAGACAGUUUAUGGACAGUAAGUCCUUCUCUUGUUGCCUUUUGUCUAUACACCUAUCAAAUCCUUCCCGCUUUUCUCCCUAUAUCUACAAUAAAAUAACGAUCUGAUUGUUUCACCUGCCAGCCAAAGGCUAUCAAAGUAAAGAAGAUAAGGUAAACUAAUGUCCAAUUGCUGGAGUCAUUUCCAUUGGAAUGAGUUCAGUUCAGAUGGAGAUAGGAGAGGGAUGUUACAGAAGUUUUAAUAAAAACAUGUCACUGAAAUCAUAGGCCAUACAAUAUGUUUCUUGUUGAGAUUCAUUCAUGUGAGGCAGAAGAACCAGAACAUGUUUUACUAAAGCAAUUGCAAUUGCUGACUGCCUUCACCCUGAAUUGAAGCCAGAUCUUGAUAAGUGGAAACAAUCCGACUCAUUGAUUCAUUAUAAAGCUGCUUUAUUUUCCUCACCGCAAAGAUGUGUAAAAGCUUACACAGAUUGACUGAAGUUAUGUAUCCAGUAGAGCGUGUUCUAUAUUUAAAUUAUUUGACGAGAACUGCAUAAAACUUGGAAAACUAGAAAUGUAUUGUCUGGUAUUCCAAAGGGAUUCCACAACACUUGUCUAAUAUGCUAUUUCCUUCUAAAUUAAGGGAUUUAGUAUGUCUCCUGUUGGCAAAAAAGAGAAAAGAAAAGGAAAAGACUGCCAUGCUGAUUUCAGUGCCCCUGGCCUAGACCUGUUCACCCAAAUCUCCAAAAACAACCAAACAAACAUUCAUACCGGAUAGGAGGCUCGCCUGCCAAGUCAUGCCAGAGUGAGGCCUUCUGUUUGGUGCACACAGACUUUUGCCUCCCCCUGUCCCAGAGCAAUCAGAGCAUGUAGGGACGGACACCGAGCUUUUUGUUUUCGCCUGCUCCAGCAAUUAGCUGCCAAGUGGUAAGCUAAUGAAGAUAACCUCCUCCAAGCCCUGAUCAGAAACCAGGGCGCUGAUGACAGCUCAAAACACAAAGACUCUUACGAGAAAAGAGGGGGUAGUUUGGGACCAUUUUAUUGUUAUAAUUCUGGUUUUCAAAACAGAUUGUUAAAACUAAAUUCUGAUCCGUCAAGCCAUAUUUAAAGAGUUAUUUAAAAAAAAUUACACGUGUGUAACUGUGACUGCACAUCAUUUUAAUUCUAUAUUAAUGCUUCAGGUUGCAUAACAGUUUACAGUUACCUGUAUACAUCAAGAGGCACAACUGAUUUGCAUGCUUUGUUUUUGCGUAUUAAUUCUUAGGACAUUGCAUGACUUGCAAUACAUAGUUGACAAGUACAAUACUGGCUGAUAUAUUAAGUCCUUAAAAUUACAAUAUAUAUAUAUAUAUAUAUAUAUAUAAUUUAUUAUUUUCAUAUUUUACAUCAUUUGAAUGAAUAAGUGUAUUAACAGGCUCUUUGAAUGUGUAGUCAGAGCCACUUAACUCCAUCAGCUCCUAUACCCCGAUGAGUUGAUUGGCAUGCUAGCUGUUGAAUAGGGAAUGAGCAAAGUGAACUGAGCACUGCACAAUGAUGAACAACACACAUUUGACCAUUCUUCCUGUUAUGUUCCAUAUCUAAUCUUUUAAUUGUUUAUUUAAAUAUUCACAUACUCUCUUAUGGUAAUCUGCACUCAAAACAAGACAGUCCAUAAAGAUUUGGAUUGUUUUAAAUAUAAUGAACAGACAGUUUUUUCCCCACCAGUGGGCGCUAGAGCCGAGAAGUGAAGCCUCAUGGGCAGCUGAUUAUUCUCAAUUAUUUUGUAACUGCAGUUCACCUAGACAAACUGCCCCGUCUGUAUGUCUAUUCUCUAAUGACUGGCAAUAUUCCUGUAAUUUGGGUGUGUCAGCAUAUCCUGUCUGGUACACUCUGAAGCCAUGCAGCCCAGUGUGAUCAGUGAGUGUGGGCCAACUAGCUCUAAAAGGUAGGCUAUGUUAAUAUUCAAAAUGCAUAUUUCAACCAGUGUGGUUAACACAAAUAUAUGUUCUGUUUAUUAUUCUAGGUAUAUUUUUGGAACGCAUGAUAUAAAUUCAGUACUUCACAGAACCAAUUCAGGUGCAGUACUAGAUACAAAGUAAAACAUUGAAAGCCAAACUAAGAAGGCAGGUAAGGUCUUGAAACACUUUGCAUAUUGUAUACAUUUCUGUAUAUUUGAACUGGUGUAUUUAAUUGUAAAUGUCCAGAGAAAAACACCAGAGUUAUAAUGAAAAUGUCAUAAAAUGCACUCUAAAAUGCUGGGUUAUUUUAUUUAUUUUUUAAUCCAAAUGCUGGGUACUUAUUAUUGUGUUGUUUUUAAUAUUUAUACCCAAGUGUUGGGUCAUUUUAACGCUUGGUUAUUUUUUUCUACCUAACUGCUGGUCAAAACCUCUCAACACUGCAGUUCAGGUCAUAAACCCUGCCCUCUCCAUGUAAACGAAUGGGACAUGAGUUAAUAUUAAAAAUAAAAAAAUUACACUUCCAAUACAAUUUACCGAAAGAUGUUUUGGUCAUUUAAGGUAGUUGUCAUCACGCUGAUAUAUUUUCAGUUGUUUGUUUUUGUGAUAAGUUUGAUUUUAGCUAGUAAUUUGAUGCUUUAAAAUGUGGCAUGUCGUUAUGGUUGAUUAGGUCUGUAGGAGUUUGAUACAGACUCUGGCUCCAGAUGACAUCUUUUACUCAAGAUGGUAGCGGCCAUACUGAGAUGCUUUGGCUGUAGUGGAAGGAAGUGGAGACGCGUCGUCCAUCUUUUUUUUACAGUCUAUGGCUAUUUAAGUCCACAUAAGAGAGCUGUCUGCCAGUAUGUUGCAUUCUUUCCGGGAAAUAAAGGUUUUGGAAUCAGUCACGCCAUCUCAGCUAUGAGUGAAACGCAGCAACAGUAUGUUUCCACACGUAGCGAGCGCAGCGGAAUGAGUGUCUUCAAUUAAUUCCUAUGGAACUUUAGCUUAAAUGCUUGCGCAUUGCAUUAUGGGAUUGAAAUCAGCACAGAGAAAGUGUUGAGAGUUGACCAUUCCUCGACUUGAAGAUGAAAUGCAAACAGGGUGUAAUGUAAACAUAGUUUUCUGAGGCGUGCUCUGCCCUAAAUUUGACAUACCCCAAAGCAGUGGCGUUGUAGCAUUGCCAGCGGCACUGAGGGAGAUUUGAUGCCGUAGUGAAAUCGCAGCUCCCCCGUGAACAUCAGCACUUCACCGGCUCAGAUUUCGGCGACACACCGGCAUGAGGAUUAGCACUCUUUCAGUAAAAAGCAAUUAUAGAGAACGGUUCAAUACACUUAAAUUAGAAUGCCAUUUUUAAAUGUGCCUUUUUAUUUCUAAAAUGGUUGUUAAACGAUCAAUUGUUUAUAUGUAAUAUUGUAAACUAUGCUGUAUUCAUUGCAAUAAAUUCAAUUUGUCUUUUGU